rnacentral:lncRNA from 1 species
UUUCCUGGAUCAGAACCUCUGGAUUAGGACCCAAAAGUCAACUUUACCAGAAAGAGCUCUAAGGUGAUUCCUAGGCAGACUGAAAUUUGAUACUUCAUGCCCAGGGUCAGGAUGACUUCCUUGAGAGGUGAUUAAUCAGACUGAGAAAAAGGAGUAGGUGGGUCAAAAUAUGCAACCACAGAAACAACAGGGAAGUUACGGGUUUUGAUAAAGAAUAGCAAUCCUGUACAGCAUUCUCUCGGUGUGGUGGGCCUUUUUAAAAUGAUAGCUCUUCUUAAAUAUAAUCUGAGAUUCUAUGAUAAGGGUGUGUGCCUCUGAUAGCCUGGAACAGAUCUUUGUUUGCAAGGGAGCAAGAGCUGGCCUCGGUUUAUUAUUAAUUAUGCCAAGGUGGGAGGCUGUUAAAGAGGGCUCUGAUAAGGACUCCCACAGAGUCCCCUAGAGGCUGUUCCCAACCACCAUCCACUCCUCCGCAGAUAGCCGCCCCCUCUCCCUUGUCUUUUCUCGAGCCUGCAGUGUCACCGGCAAGAAAGCAGUAGUGUGAGGGAGGGCCUGGUGGCCAGAAAGUGCAGGGUGCUCUGGGGCAGGGACCAGUGAGGUAUGGCUGGACAACAGUGGUCCAGGCAUGUGAGGAGCUGUUGAGACUUGGAAGGAGGGGACAUCCGCUGGGGUGAAGGAGAGAAAGUGACACAGUGAAUUCUGAGUCUGAGUUCCACCCCUGACUUCUGUGGGGAGCCUGAGCAAGUCCCUUCCCCAGACUGGGCCUCUGCAUUCCUGUCUGGAAAAGACAGUUUGUGUUAGAAGCAGAUGAUUUCUCCAGUGACCAAUGGAUUUAAUAUUCUGGAUUCUACAAUCUCACCUGACCCAAACCACUCCCAUGCGAAGCAUGCGUUUAGGAACUUGACCCAUUUCCAGUGAGGAGCAGUGACUUGCCCACCACCACACAGCCACUUAGGAGCAAAGCCUGAUUCCACCAGCACCCAACGCUCAGCCUGGCUUUUGGGAGAUCAGCCUCGGGCUGGGCAAGCUGAAGCAAACUGAGAGGCACUCGGCCUCCUGUCCAGGAAGCCGGCGCUGCAGGGGACGGAAGGGUCGGAGCCCACGCCGCGUGAGGCCGAGGAGCUGGGCGGAGGCGCCCGAAGCCAGCCUGGGGCGAAGUGGGUGUGCUAGGGGCCGGGCGGGGCCGGGGGAGGAGGCGCCCUGGGGAAGGUUAAAGGGAGCAGAGCGCGGAUCGGGGCGCAGAGCCGAGGGGGCGCGGGCUGUGUGCACACCCGCAGACGGAGCGCGGACGAGCCCAGGGUGCGGGGUCCUACCGAGAGACGGGCGCCCCUCGGAGUCUUGCCGAGAGGCAGCUCUGGGCCUUCCCCGCUCCCAAAGUCAAUACUGAGACCCCAGAUGUAUCCAGAGGCACCCUGAAGAGGCUGAGGGACUGAGGAGCCCGAGGACACCCAUAGGGAGAUUCCUGAAGCUGACUCAGAGCCACAGAGGAUUUGCCUGUGAUUUGGUGAGUCUUCCAGAUUCAGGUUGCCCUUCCUCUGCCCUGUCAGUUAAAACUAGCUUGUAAGGAUAUCUAAGAAAACAGGUAACAGUGACUGCUCUUUUUUCUGGACCUCUGGGAAUGGGGAGACUUCAUCUUCAUUGUCCGUACUGUGUCUAUGUGUUUCCUUCUCAAAAAU